GCUGGUGUGGCUCAAUGGAUAGAGCAUCGGCCUGCGGACCAAAGGGUCCCGGGUUCAACUCCCGUCAAAGGCA
rnacentral:tRNA from 1 species